rnacentral:lncRNA from 1 species
CUUUGCUGAAGAAAAGUCUCUUCCAAUGGAUUGUCAAUUUCUCCACAACAAGUGCUUUGUCUAAUACAUUACACCAACUUUGAGAAAAACAAGAUCCAGGUAAUUAAAUUUUAUUUUUACAUUUACUAUAUGAUAUUUAUUAUCUUCUUAUACGAGCCAAUUAAUAGAAUGUGUACUCACUAGUUUGUUUUAUGAUUUUGAGCAAUUCCUGUAUUUGAAAUCCAUAAACUUGCUUUCUGUAUAAGUUUGCAUUCUUGAAUCUAGUUAAAAGUGAAAAGAAGAGCAACAACAAGAACCGAAAAACUUGAUGAAAUUAAUUAACACAAACUAACUAUAAAGGACACCCUUCAAGGGUGUGUACCCUGAUACAAGGCUGAUUUUAGUACUGCUCUAACCCAUAAUCUACGGGUCAGCUGAUUUACCCAUAAGCUAUGGGUCACAUCGAGAUAACUUUAGUGUUGCUCCAACUGUAUCUAACCGUCUAUAGAGAACAGAGGAAACUAUCUACUAAAAAUUGAAGCGACUGCAACAAGUAUUAGCUCUAUGCUUCGUUGGUUUAACACGACGUGUGAUAUUUGUUAUCCAGCCCUGCAAAAGAACAACAGCUACAACUUGAAUCCAAAAUUUUAGGGAAGAACUGUAACUGUAAUUAGGCAGUAUGGAUAAAUUUUUUGAAUUACCUUUCCGCUAGUGGAUCUCGAAUAAUCCAAGGAAGCAAGAGUUGGAUUUGGUGUACUUCUUUGUCCACAGUAACAGCAAUUGAUCCUGAUAAACCAAUACUGUAACCAGUUUCUAGCUAGGUAAAGACCUCCACAAUCACAAUAUUUGUCUAUCUUUAUGUAUUGUGAUGCCCAUUUUACUAUCACAUCAACCAACCAUGUAGCAGCUCCAAUUAAAAUGGAUUCAACCCAUUGCUUCCAAUUCAGUCGUGCCGUGUUGGUAAAGACAAAGACAGCCUCUACUUCAAUGAAUCCAAACUGCAACACAAGAUAGAGCACAGACAAUGCCCAGAACAAGUAAUUUUGACCAAAACCUUUGAAAAAAUUCUUCUGCUCCAAAUCCCUUGCACUGAAAAUGUUAAAAAGCUGGCACAGAGCGAACCCGUUAAAGACUAUAGAUCUGUUAACUUUUGGAGUGAUGCCCAGUAUUGCACUUCCUUUGAGUUGAAGGAAUACAAAAAUGCCAGUCUGAUAAGAAGCUUGAAAAAGUAUGUUUCUCCACAUAGCUUUGGUAAUUGGCGGUUUUCUUGGUCUGAUAGAAAGCUCAUCCCUUAGUAGAGUAAUUAGCAAAGCUGGCCCUCCAAUAAAUGUAACAAGAAGGUUAACCCAUACCAACUGAAAUAUUGUUAACGGGGCAUCUCCGUCUACUAUAACCAGUAUGAAGUUUAUUGAUAAGCUACUGAUUGCCAAGAUUACCUCAACUUGGAUGAACUGCCUCAGAUUCUCACAAACAAUUCUUCCUCCCUUGAUGCUGUUAAUCACAUAAGUUAUAGUUUCAGGCCAGUUAGUCACCACAGGCAGGCCAAAAUGAGCUGCUUCAAGAACCAUAUUACUUUCAGAUGCUUGUUCUCCUACCACAGCCACCACUUCUCCUCUUUUCUUCAACUGCUCUAUUAAAAGAAGCUUGUGUGCAGGAGAGGAGUUCCCCAUAAUGCAAACCUUAUCAACAUUUUCCUUUGUAGCAUCUUCGCCCUUAAGUACUAGAGCAUCAUGUGAGUUGAGCAAUCCUGUUUCAUCACCAAUGGUACGAAGCACUUCAACAUCUUCUUCCGAGGUAAAUAUCAUCUUCACUCCGCCUUCUUUUAGAAUCUCAAUUCCUUGUCUCAUGUUGUCUAGAUUGAAAUUAUCUUCUAAGAUAAACAUACCGAUGAAUGUUAGGCCAUUUUCAUCAAAUUCAACAAUCUGAGUAUGUUUGCAGGCAAAUGCAACUACGUUCACAUUGUUGUUGUUAGCUUGAGCAAACUCACUCUUUGUUUCGUCAUCCAAAUCCUUCACUUCACCCUGCAUGUCAUAGUAACUUGAACACAUUGACAAUAUUGAAUCAGCCUGUCCUUUGAAGUGUGAAUAGUACUCCUUCCCAUUAUCUCCAUUUUUCUCUAUGACAACUCCACAAGGUCCUUCAAAAGGAUUCUUCUCACUAUCAUUGUCCUUCACAAUGAUGACCUGCUGAUGCAAAAUGUCUCUCUGCAUACCCAUGUUCUUUUCUGCCCAGCAAAGUAUUGGUUCUUCCAUUCUUUGGUUGGUUGUUUGAGAAGUCAUAGUGGAGACGCCAAUCCCAUCAGAGAGAACACUGCAGACAUGUGGCGGUAUCCUGGUAACAUCUUUUCUGUCGAGAAGAAACUUAGUAACUUUCAAUUUUUGCUCUUUCGACCAGCCAACAUUUUCUAUACAGAAGGUGCUGACUGAUUCCAUGUUAACAUCAAAAUUCGGAUACCAAUAUGCCAUCACAACUGAAAUAAGAAAUGGUAAUCCUUCAGUCAUCCCUACCAGUGCGAGACCAAGUGAAGUUAUCAGAACUCUUACUGUUCCCUUUGAUUCUGUUAAAACCUUUUUCAAGGCAUUCAUUAUCUGUGCAAUUUCAGCUGGUUCUUCCUUGGUUUCUAAUCUGUAUCCAUUCUCAUCAUCUUUAUGGCCCAAUUUAAAGCGAAUAAACAGCACCACAGUGAUCAAAAUGCCAAUCAACAACCCACUGAUAUGUAUGUAAUUGUUCAACUUGUCAAAGUAGGCACAAAAACUGGAGUCGUUUUCAGAAAUCAAUGGGGGUAAAUUCAUCCUUGCUUUUUGAUCUUUUUGCUUCUUCCAAAGAUAUCUUUUGUACCAAAUUCUUGCAAACCUAAACAAAACAAUCACAAAUAUAAUCACAACCAAAAGUGCUCCUUCAAACCAACCAUUCUGCACACCUUCUUCUUUGAUUCCAAAGACAAAUGACAAUAUUGCAGCAAUUGCAAGUAGAAAAAUAGUUGAUUCCUUGAAUACCAAAUGUUGGAUCAUGAAUUUGCCAUACCCUGCGAAGAUCAACAUGUGAUGAUACAAGUCGCAGCUAGAAAUUUCUCCAACUUGAAUUCCCUUUUCAACAGUACUCCCCUUGACUCCUUCAAAAUUGUGAAGUGAUUCCAACUUCACAUUCUCUUCACUAAUUUGUAGGCAUUGUUGAUGAGUACUUAGAUCAUGAGGCUGAAGCUCAAUCUCAUUGUUUGAUUGUACAGUAUAAACAUCAGCCACAGUUUCAACCAUCUGGAAUUCAUCUCCACCACCUUCCGCGUCCUAAUUAGACAGAGAGCAUAUAUAAUUAAUAUCAUCAAUAUAUAACUUUAAACUAUAUGCAUAUAUAUAUGUUUUAUAUAUACAUACUCCAUGUUUAAGAUUGAAGCUGGGAAGAGGAGUAUAAAAGGUUGUGGUGGAGGAUGAUGAGACUCGUGAAAGAGAUGCUAUUCUUGCUCCAGCUUCAAUGAACUUGUAAGUAGAUUUGAAAAUGAGCGCCGACUUCCUCAUGAUCAAACUAGAUUUACCCAAUUCUCCAUUCAUCAACAGCGGGGAACUUCGCUGAGCUUCAAUGUCUGAUCCAUUAUCUUCAUGAUCCAGCUCCAUCAUCUUCGCCUUUGAUCAGUACAUUUUUCUUCUUCUUCUGUAUUUAUUAUAAAAUACUAGGAAAGAUCACUAUGAUCUGACACUUAAAAGAUUCAGAUAGAAUAAGAUAUGAUGGUAAGGAACUGAUUUUUUUGUAUACAUAUUUAUAGGGAAAGAAAAAGGUUGCCAUGAAGCUACC